AAACACAACCAUGGCAACAAAUUAGAUAUUUGUUGAAUCAGGCCAAGGCAUAAAAAUAUACUGUAUGCCAAAAUGUAAAGGUGACAUGAGUGAUCAAAAGAGAGGGAAAGUGAAAGGUCAAGGGAGAAACUCUCAGCAUGUAGGUACGGAACCAUUUCCAUGAGGUCAGCUACAUUCCAAAGCGGCUGCGGCACUUGAUGGCGAAGCUGUCGGGGCAUGCUGCACAGCCCAAGACAGUCUUUGAAGAUGGCUGGAUGUAUGACCUUGUCAUGUACGUAAAACAUCCACAGACUAACUGGAAAAGGACUUUACCUCAGCCAAAGUGAGUGCAUUGCAGAAUAAGUACAGAGAGCUUACCUUGGUUUUUAAAGAUGUUGCAAUCCGUUUUAAUUGGGGAUCUCAUUGCAAUGUGCUCCUAUGUCUUGAGACAGGGCCUUCAAGAGGAUCAAUAUUUCCAGAAUGUUGGUAUUAGCAUCCAUUUUUCGCUGGCUAGAUAUUUUCCAACAGAGGAUGUGACUCUCAUCAUUAGAGCAGAGGAAUACAUUUAUCAAAGUUAAGGAAGUCAUUUGCCAUUCAGAUGGCCCAAGAAGCAUAAACAUUUAUCAUUGAGCCUUGGAAGAACUCUCUAUUAUAAAAAGAUUGGUUAAUUUCUGAAAACCACUCCUUCAAUAAGGACCCAGGUUAUGUGCCAUGGUAUCUGUAGCUUUCUGGCUGGGUCAGGGUGACCUGUACACAACCCUGGCAGGAUGCCCUUGGACAGAGUAUUUGCAUCCCUUUGGUGUGCCAAUGUAUCAAGCAUUCACAGGUCACAAUGAAACACUAAAGUACAAGCUGUGCAAAGAGGUCAUUGGUAGGCAUUGUUUCUCCAGAGGGGAAUCAUCUUACAACUGUUAUGAAGGGUCAAAGGUAACUUUCAUUUUAAGAUGCUAAUUACUCCAAGAAUUUGAUGCAGGAGACAGCUGGUUAAAAUGAAUGAGCGCUGCAGCGUUGAAGGGGAAAAACAAAUAGAGGGUUAUAAUAAAAGUGCAAUAUGCAACAUAGUAAGUAUGCAGAGAAUAAGGGACAAUAUUGUUAAUAAACAUCUGUUAGUCAAUAUGAUCUUUGUAGAGCUGGGAUCUUUAAUAUUAUACCUGCUAAUCACAUGCAAUUAAAUUUAAAUUUAAGGUGGUUAAGGUUAGAAAUUCAGGUCCUCAGCCACAUAGGCCACAUACAAAGUGUUCAAUAGCCACAUGUGGCCAUUGACUACCAUACUGGAGAGCCCAGAUAUAGAACAUUUUCAUUACCACAGAAAUUUCUAUAGGACAGCAAUGACCUGGCAUGUUUUGCUAUUGGAGGGGUUUUAAACUUAGUGCUUUUAUAUAGGAAACAUUAUUUAAAAAAAAAAAAAAAAAAAAAAAAAAGCCAUCCCAUGAAACGCUUCUCUCGUUCCAGUUCUGUAGUAAGGGUUGCCCUAAAUUCACUUAUGCCCUAGAAAAUUCACUUAUCAUGAAUGAAAAAACUGUUACUACUAUUAAUAAUAAUUUUGUCCUGGUGAAUAUUUACAUUGUACCACACACUGUGCUAGAUGCUUUAUACAUAUUGUGUCAUUUAAUUCUUACCUUAGAGACUAAGAUCUAUCUGUGAAUUACUUUUAGAUAAAUCAGGUUAAGAGAAAAUAAAAACUGACCUUAGAUCACAA